rnacentral:rRNA from 1 species
GAUAGUGUGUUCUCGUCGGCGGAGGAUGCCCCUUUGUGGCGUACCUAUAACUGUUGCUUCGGGGGGCAGGGUCUCCGUGACCCUCCCGGCCUCCCGCCCCCGGGCGGGUCGGCGCCCGCCGGAGGAUAACCAAACUCCGAUUUAACGACGUUUCUUCUGAGUGGUACAAGCGAAUAAUCAAAACUUUUAACAACGGAUCUCUUGGUUCUGGCAUCGAUGAAGAACGCAGCGAAAUGCGAUAAGUAAUGUGAAUUGCAGAAUUCAGUGAAUCAUCGAAUCUUUGAACGCACAUUGCGCCCGCCAGCAUUCUGGCGGGCAUGCCUGUUCGAGCGUCAUUUCAACCCUCAAGCUCUGCUUGGUGUUGGGGCCCUACAGCUGAUGUAGGCCCUCAAAGGUAGUGGCGGACCCUCCCGGAGCCUCCUUUGCGUAGUAACUUUACGUCUCGCACUGGGAUCCGGAGGGACUCUUGCCGUAAAACCCCCCAAUUUUCCAAAGGUAGACCUCGGAUCAGGUAGGAAUACCCCGCUGAACGUAAGCAUAUCAUUUAAGCGGAGGAA